rnacentral:rRNA from 1 species
GACGGAGGGUGCAAGCGUUGUUCGGAUUGACUGGGCGUAAAGGGCGUGUAGGCGGUUGGUUAAGUCUGACGUGAAAGCCCGGGGCUCAGCCCCUGAAGGGCAUCGGAAACUAGCCAGCUGGAGCGCGAUAGAGGAGGGUGGAAUUCCUGGUGUAGCGGUGAAAUGCGUAGAUAUCAGGAGGAACACCGGCGGCGAAGGCGGCCCUCUGGAUCGUUGCUGACGCUGAGACGCGAAAGCGUGGGGAGCAAACAGG